rnacentral:rRNA from 1 species
GACGAACGCUGGCGGCGUGCUUAACACAUGCAAGUCGAACGGAAAGGCCCUGCUUUUGUGGGGUGCUCGAGUGGCGAACGGGUGAGUAACACGUGAGUAACCUGCCCUUGACUUUGGGAUAACUUCAAGAAACUGGGGCUAAUACCGGAUAGGAGCUCCUGCUGCAUGGUGGGGGUUGGAAAGUUUCGGCGGUUGGGGAUGGACUCGCGGCUUAUCAGCUUGUUGGUGGGGUAGUGGCUUACCAAGGCUUUGACGGGUAGCCGGCCUGAGAGGGUGACCGGCCACAUUGGGACUGAGAUACGGCCCAGACUCCUACGGGAGGCAGCAGUGGGGAAUAUUGCACAAUGGGCGGAAGCCUGAUGCAGCAACGCCGCGUGCGGGAUGACGGCCUUCGGGUUGUAAACCGCUUUCGCCUGUGACGAAGCGUGAGUGACGGUAAUGGGUAAAGAAGUACCGGCUAACUACGUG